rnacentral:ncRNA from 1 species
UGCGCAAGGCGUGCCCGAUCACGAUAUUGUGGAAUGCGACCCCUUUGAGGCGCGCGGUGCGGAUGUACUGGGUGGUCAUGACCUCGGCCAUCGAAGCCCGGGUCAUGCGCGCGAUAUAGCCGGUGCCGUAAAGGGCGAUGGUGAAUACCGGCAGGAAGAAGUUCUCGAGAGUCGGGUUU